UACGAAGGGGGGCUAGCGUUGCUCGGAAUCACUGGGCGUAAAGCGCACGUAGGCGGCUUUUUAAGUCAGGGGUGAAAUCCUGGAGCUCAACUCCAGAACUGCCUUUGAUACUGAGAGCUUGAGUCCGGGAGAGGUGAGUGGAACUGCGAGUGUAGAGGUGAAAUUCGUAGAUAUUCGCAAGAACACCAGUGGCGAAGGCGGCUCACUGGCCCGGUACUGACGCUGAGGUGCGAAAGCGGUGGGGAG
rnacentral:rRNA from 1 species